UGAAAGGCUGCUGCACCAGGAACAAAAUAAGGUGAACUCUGAACACAUAUAAGGAGCAGGCAGAAGAUAGAGUGCUAUAGAGCAGACAUUUCAAAGUAAAAUUGCAACUGUAAAAAAGUUGCACUGUAAAAUUGCAACUGUGUAUUCCUCAGGACUGAAGUGUGCCACCUAAGUGAACUGCAAGGCAGUCACAGACCUGCUACUCAGGACUAUGUUCUCAUCCUGGAAGAGGGUUGCUUUGUCCAUCUGGAAAUCUCUUAGAAUUCCAUGUCUGUGGGAGGCAGAGGAGAGCGCAGAGCUGGGAGGUGAUAUGCAGCUUCUGCCUGGAGACUCCGCCCCACCCCAGACUUCCUGUGUCUUCUGUGAAGAGGUGAUGAAUCCAGUGAGUGGCACUGAAGCUGUGAGUCUGCAAUCAUGGAUACCACUGCAGAAGGGGCUCCCUUGUCCUUCACAGUCAGCAGGAACGUGGAUCAUAGAGUGCCACAUGAGAUCUAGUGACAGCAAGGGCCAGGGACAUCCAUCUGGCCUCCGGCACCAGGACGUGCCACAGACCUCAGCAUGGUUUCUGGUGACAGUACAAGCCACUAACAGACAUCAAUUCAGCCUCCAGCUGCAGCAGGACCAUGGACCCCCAACAUGGCCCUUGUCAACAGCACAGACCACAGACAGCUGCAUGGCCUUUAGUGGUACCAUAGGCCAUAGACAUUACCACGGCCCCCAGUGCAGUACAGAGCAUGGUCUCAGGUGGCAGCUCAGGCUAUUCCCAUUUGCAUGGUCCCCAGAGGCAUCAUGGCUCAUGGACAUCAACAUGCCAGCUUGCUUUCUUUUAGAAAAUGUAGGACCACCUGCCCAGGGAUGACAUCAACCACAAUGGGCUGGGCUGUCCCCAUCAAUCACUACUUAAGCAAAUGCUUACAGGCUUGCCUACAGCUCGAUCUUAUGGAAGCAUUUUCUUAGUUGAGGUUCCCUCCUUUCAGAUGACUUUAGCUUGUGUCAAGUUGACACAAACUAUAUAGUACACUGGCCAUCUCCUCAGCCACAAGCAGCAGAGGGCUGUCAUCCUGAGGGAACAUGGUUCAGCUCCAGACCAGCCAGCGGUUCCUCUUCCAGCAGCAAGCUCUUCUGCCUUGAGGAAUGCCCAUCAGACACAGGCUCCCUGUGCACUGACAUGAAUGUGUUAUCUGUCUGAUAAUCCCCCAACACGCACACACACACGCACACGCGCACACACACAUCUUAGGGUUACUGUCGCUGUGAUAAAACACUAUGACCAAAAGCAACUUGGGGAGGAAAGGGUUUAUUUCACAGCUCCAUGUAACAGUUCAUCAAAAGCAGUCAGGGCAGGAACCUGGAGGCAGGAGCUGAUGCAGAGGCCAUGGAGGAGUGCUGCUGACUGAUUUGCUCCUCAUAGCUUACUCAAUCAGCUUUAUUAUUAUUAUUAUUAUUAUUAUUAUUAUUUUAUUAUUAUUAUUAUUUGUAUAUGCUCAGCCCAGGGAGUGGCACUAUUAGAAGGUAUGGCCCUGUUGGAGUAGGUGUGUCACUGUGGGCGUGGGCUUUAAGACCCUCAUCCUAGCUGCUUGGAAGCCAGUAUUCUGCUAGCAGCCUUCAGAUGAAGAUGUAGAACUCUCAGCUCCUCCUGCACCAUGCCUGCCUGGAUGCUGCCAUGUUCUUGCCUUGAUAUUUAAUGCACUGAACCUUUGAACCUGUAGGCCAGCCCCAGUUAAAUGUUGUCCUUACAAGAGUUGCCUCGGCCGUGAUGUCUGUAUACAGCAGUAAAACCCUAAGAUUAUUAUUAUUAUUAUUAUUAUUAUUAUUAUCCUUUUGAGACAAGGUUUCUCUGUGUAGCCCUGGAUGUCCUAGAACUCACUCUAUAGACCAAGCUGGCCCUGAACUCAGAGAUUAACCUGCCUCUGCAUCCCAAGUGCUGGGAUUAAAGAUGCACACCA
ensembl:lincRNA Gm14340 predicted gene 14340